rnacentral:rRNA from 1 species
AGAGUUUGAUCAUGGCUCAGAUUGAACGCUGGCGGCAGGCUUAACACAUGCAAGUCGAACGGUAACAGAACUAGCUUGCUAGUUGCUGACGAGUGGCGGACGGGUGAGUAACGCGUAGGAAUCUACCGAAUAGUGGGGGACAACAGUUGGAAACGGCUGCUAAUACCGCAUACGCCCUACGGGGGAAAGGAGGGGAUCUUCGGACCUUUCGCUAUUUGAUGAGCCUGCGUGAGAUUAGUUAGUUGGUGGGGUAAUGGCUCACCAAGGCGACGAUCUCUAGCUGGUCUGAGAGGAUGAUCANCCACACUGGGACUGAGACACGGCCCAGACUCCUACGGGAGCCACCANUGGGGAAUAUUGCACAAUGGGGGAAACCCUGAUGCAGCCAUGCCGCGUGUGUGAAGAAGNCCUUCGGGUUGUAAAGCACUUUCAGU